GGGUGCCGCAGGGAGCGGGCCGCCGCCGUGCUUACGUUUCCCUGCUUGGGGCUGAAGCUGAAGGGGUCCGCCGCCACCUCCUGCAUUUUGUCCUGCUGAUCCAGCCUGUGCAGCAGGUCCUGCAGCCUCUCGAUGUAGCUGAUGGCGCUCCUCAGGAUCUCCACCUUGGGCAGCCGCUGGUUGGGGUUGGCCACAGUCCGCCUUUUCAGAGCCUCGAAGGCUUCGUUGAUCUUCUUCAGCCUCCUCCGCUCCCGCAGCGUGGCCGCUUUCCGCCGGUCGGUGGGGGCCGACUUUCUCUUGCAGGUUUUGCAGGCCCAGAUGAGGCACUGGCCGGGGCAGUGCGGGGGCUGCAGGCCCGGCGGGGCCAGCACGUGCUCCUCGCCGCUGCUGUCGCUGCCGGCCUCCGGCGGCAGUUGGUCCUGACACGGGGACAGGGUGCCGUCGCUGCCCGGGUACAGCGGCGAGCCCUCUGCCAUCUCCAGCUGCUGCAGGGCCCCAUUCUCCCCGUCCAAGUAGAAGAAAUAGGAGCCGGUUUCGAAAAGGUCCAUCAUCAUGCUGUCCCUCGGCCCCUCUGCCUGCUCCGCUGGGGUGGCAGGCUCAAAAACACCCCGAGGAGCAACCCAGAUGGAAUUUAAUUAGUGCGGUGACAUAAGUCCCCACUGCUUUAUAUAUAGGAGCUGCUGAAACCCUAUCCAACUUUUAGCUGUCGCGGUGCAUCACCCUCCAAAACUGAUUCCAGCCAGUCUCCUGGGCGCUGUCCUGAGAACAUCUCCUAUUUAGAAGGCUGGGAAGGAGGGGGCACAUGGGGAGGGAGGCAAAGAGAAGAAAUAAAGGAAAACAAACGACAAAGAAAAAUGCCCUCCAAAGGCCUGUGAACUUGGGAUGAGGAGGCGAGGAGAGGGCUUGAGGAGCUGUGCCUGAGCGCAGCAAGCAGCUCUGCUGCGGGCUGGCGGGGAACACAGACACAGGGCUGCCCACUGAGCCCUCCCCAGCCACACACACACGCAGACAGAUACUCACAUACACACACAGAGUGCACACUUCUUACCCCAGUGCUAAGUAUAGGUUUGUAAAGAGGGCUUUCAGAGGCCUCCAUGGUUCUCCAAACAGAAGGGUUAAUAUUUUCAGAAGCCCCUGCUAUUCCCUCAGCCCCCUCGAAGCAUGCCAUUCCUGUGACCCACGGCCAGCCCAAGGUUAGGAGUCAGUCUCACUGUUCCUCCACACACAGGGGAAGGUUGCCAAGGCAGAGCCGUGCUGCAGAGCUGUAGCACCUGUGGUUAUCACACCCUGGUGCAGUGUUUUCCUUUGAACUUUCCGAUGUUUCCUGGGAGAUGACAGGAGUGAAUUCAGGUGACUGGGUUACAGCCUAAUGGGGCUCUCUGGACAGCCCCCGUCCUUGACAGUGUCUAGGGCAAUCAAAGCCCAGGCAUCUGUUCUAACUGCAGCUUAAUCCCUUGGGCCUGGCAAGACUUACAGAGCUUCCUGGCCCCUGAGACAGAAACGGAGCUUGUGAUCACCCUCUGUUAAGGUAUACUGUAAUGUCACAUCAUAUGUCUAGGCUUCUCUCACCUCAAGAAAGAGAAAGUAUGGGAAAAUGUCCUGUAUUGCUUCUUUCCCUGUUCUGCUUUGAGAUCCUUAAAUGACAUGUAAUUUCUCACUACUUACGUAAAAAUACAUAUGCGUGUAUGCACGUGCAUGUGUCCAUAUCUACAGACAUGCACAUACAUAUCUAUACGUACGUUGAUAAGUAGGUAUACUUCUCUUUGUGUAUAUGUGCAUAUUUGCUCAGAUAAACUCAAUAAUACGUGAGGAGUAGAUGAGCCCCUGGAGUCCCAUGGCAUCUCUCACAGCUAGCUUCUAAUUUCAUGUUUCUGUGAAGUAACUGUGGCAUUUUUGUUCAGUUGUCAAAAGCUACAUUAAAAUCAGUCACUGACUUGUCUUUCUCCAAAACUAAUUGCAAACCAGUUUUUCUGAGUACAGAAAUAGUGGAGAGUAGCCAUGAUUUUUGUUUCGACCAAAUUAAUAUUGUUAAAAUUGACCUAAUUCCUGGUUUAAUCAGGUAGAACGAUAUCCAGUUUUGGAUAAGACAGAGAUAUGCAGCCUGUACCCUGUGAAACUAACUUAGAUAUUUAUGUUCCAGCACUAAGGUGUGUAUAUAUAUAUUUUUUCAGAGUAGCCUUACAGUUAAGGAGUUGAACAUAAGGCACAGUUUCCCAGUUUCCAUGCUCUGUAAUUAGUUUUCUCUUUGACCUUUGACCAGUCACUUAAUUUCCCUGUGAUUUAAUUUUCUACCUUUAGAAAGGGAUGUAAUGUCAGCCUGUCCCCAUCCCGUGUGUUUCUCUUGUGGAUUGCUGCCUACUGAGGGAAGAGCUUGCUUUUUAACAUUAUGUGCUUCUCAGUGCUAGAGGGAUGUUAGUCCCAUACCACUAAUUAUAGUAGUAAUUAGAAAAAAAAAAAAGCAUGCUCAUCAUUUAAAAGGUUUUUAUUACAGUAUUAUUAAUUUUUUCUUUUGAUCUGUAGUUUUUUCACUGCCGCUCUCGAGGUGUUUGGAACAAGACAGAGAUUAGAUCAAUUUACUGGAACAUCCUUAUGGAACAAUCUCUGAAUAGCCACCACUUACUGCACUUCUGAUACUCAUUACAGGGAGCUCUCAGAGUGUCAUCUAGGUUUUCUCACCUUGAAACAUGACGUGUAUUGGCACUACCAAUUUCUACAUACCUGAUCCUGAUGUACAUACCCUGUCUGCUAAUGUAUCAGUAGUCACAGUUCAUUGGUAAGAGUUAUAGAAAACUUUGAUGUAUUGCUGCACUACAAAAUUCACUGUGGAAAUAGUAUAUUACACUGAGGACUGCAAAAGCUAAAAAGAAUGAGACACUUCUUUUCUCCCUUCCUUUGAGAAGGCGGUUUUAAGCAGAUGAGGACUGAGACAUUGUCACAUUCUAGAGAUGUUUCAGGUGUCUGAGAUGUGGGAACUGUAAUAGGAAAACUGGUGCCCAGAAGAUGUGUAAGCUGCUGAAGGACACGUUUAACCCCAAAGAAAUGCUGGGUGUACAGAAAUUAGACACUUUGAGUUUUCUUGAAUGUCUGGGUAGUAGUGACUCUAUGGGGGACCAGAUUUACUUAUGCUGACAAUGGCUUAUGGUAAAUUUAAACAAAAGAACUUCACUGUAGUUCAUGGAAGAAUCAUCGCCGCUGCUGGAAUGGAGAUCACUAAAGUCCAUGGCCUUUGGUAUAUAGUAGCACUGCUGAGCCUGGAUUAUCUCUUCUUGCCUUAAAAUACAUGAACUUCACAGUAGCGUGCGGUGAGUAACAUGGAACAGGUUUAAUUCUUGAUUUUCAUUUAUAUAUGUUGUCAGACCACAAGCUGACUGUUGCUUACCUGUGUUCUAUUAUUUACUUGACCCUGUUCAAAUUCUGCUUGUCUGAAGAAAUGUUAUUUCCAUAUUCAUAAAGUCAUGUGGUCUCUCAGUGGAGGUUUGCAAAAUGACUAGAGGAAGUGUGUGUACUGUGUGUGCCAUUUCAGAGAACUUGUAAACAAGAGGGAGCAUCCAUCUCUCACAUGCAAGUUUGGCAACUGGUUUAGUGAAUAGUAAUAUGUUCUGUGGAGACUGAAAGUCAGAAAGGUCGAGAUCUGAAAAAGAUGCCUUCAUAUAAUUAAACAAUCGUUGUAGGGGAAGAGCUGAAAAUAUUCACAGAGACCUUGGUUCCAUAGCUGUUCCAAAUCAUUGCUGUUUUCCUUUGAUUGGAUAUGGAAUUUAGUGUUCAUAUCAGUUACAGCCCUGUUAUCAUCUGAGAGGUGCAACUUCGCUAACUAAACAGACUCCUCUAGUUCAAGAUGGUAAGGUAGGAUUUCAUUACAGCUCUCAUGUUGGGCAGUUAUGAGACACAGUUCUAAAUGGCAGAUGCUUUAAUGCCUGUGUCAGGGUCUACAGUGACAAAUAGUCACCACUGCACAAACACAUUUAUUUUACUACAAGACGUUUUCCUGGGGAGGAGGGAGUGCCAAUCAGAAACCAGAAGCCCAUUACACUGUUGCUGUCUGGGACAGGCAUUUUCCAUGGUUCUGUCCAGGAAGAGAAGCUGUAGUGAUUACAGACCUCUCUUACUUUUGAUUCGACAAAAAAGAGGGAAAGGAAGUGUGAGAUGAGUGAUAACAGCACACAUUAUGUGCUAUAUAAUCUCAUUUUUUGCCAUCAGAUUUUCUGUAAGUGCAUGAAAGAUCAUUUUACAGUCGUACACUUACUUGGUUGUUAAGUCUAUAAGCUGUUGGAAGCACAGAGUGCAUUUUCACACUCCAUAGUUUCAGAACAUACCGACAGUGAUGUCUAAACCUGAUCUCAGUAAAAUGGACAAUAGUUUAAUUAUCAGUACUGAUAAUUAAAGUAAAUACACAUUUUAGUUCUGUAAGUGAAAGAAAGCAAGGACUGUUUCUACAUCCAGUACUCAGGCUAAUCGUAUCCCUGCUGUUUAUGGACAAAAAAGAGAGCUCAGGAGGUAGGAAAACGGCCACUUCCUUUUCUGGAGCUCAUGUAGAAUUUUUGCAGGGCUCUUCAUGGGAAAAUGGAGGGAUGGAGUAGAGUUUGGAAACUGGGAAGAUACAGUGAAAGUUAUGGAUGUGUAAAGCUCCCUUCACAGCAGUAACACCAGCAAUAACAUAGGCAUUGCGUAAAACACAGCACAAAACCAUGAGGUGAUUGUAUUGAAAUUAUCACAUUUUAUGCAUAAAUUGUAUUAAGAUGUUUCAUUAUCAGUUGCCAAAUACUUCUUGACAUAUGGAUGUGCCAAUUUAAUGAGCUCUUUGAUUACAUGGCUAACAAAGUUAAUCAGCUGUAGGCGGACGUAGGCGUUGCUUGGUCUGACUUAAUUCUUGGUGGUGCAUUAAUACAGUCCUUAAUUAUUCCAUGCGCAUGUGGAUUUUAAAUGCAUAAACAUCUGAAAUGAGAAUACCUUGAGAUAGUUCUCUUUUCAAAAUGUAAACAAAGUAUUAGAAAUAAUGCAGUCCUGUCCUCUGGACUUCUCCACUCCUCAUGAGGUAGUAUGCAUUUUCUGUCAUCUACAAUUUCAAGUUUUUGUUCAUUAUAUUUUGAGCAUUGUUCUGUCUUUGUAGACAAACAAUUUAGCUCAUAAGCGUUGAUCUCUCCAUUAUAUGUAGUUUGAGAUUUUGUUCUCCAUUUCUUUUGCUUUCUUCUACCCACAUUGCUGUCACAUGAACAAAUAAAGCUUGUCUCGUGUACAUUA